CGGACGGGUGAGUAACGCGUGGGUAACCUGCCUUGUACUGGGGGACAACAGUUAGAAAUGACUGCUAAUACCGCAUAAGCGCACAGUGUCGCAUGAUACAGUGUGAAAAACUCCGGUGGUACAAGAUGGACCCGCGUCUGAUUAGCUAGUUGGUAAGGUAACGGCUUACCAAGGCGACGAUCAGUAGCCGACCUGAGAGGGUGACCGGCCACAUUGGGACUGAGACACGGCCCAA
rnacentral:rRNA from 1 species